AAAUUGAAGAGUUUGAUCAUGGCUCAGAUUGAACGCUGGCGGCAGGCCUAACACAUGCAAGUCGAACGGUAACAGGAAGCAGCUUGCUGCUUUGCUGACGAGUGGCGGACGGGUGAGUAAUGUCUGGGAAACUGCCUGAUGGAGGGGGAUAACUACUGGAAACGGUAGCUAAUACCGCAUAACGUCGCAAGACCAAAGAGGGGGACCUUCGGGCCUCUUGCCAUCGGAUGUGCCCAGAUGGGAUUAGCUAGUAGGUG
rnacentral:rRNA from 1 species